GCACACACGCUCAUGCCUGGCGAAGCCGGAGCGCAGUGCUUGCUCUCGAGAUUUUCAUUCACAUGCACAGGGAAAAUCCGUGUACCGUUCUAAACAUUGAUUGGGCAUAGCAAUUAGUAUACAUGUGUGACGUGAUGUCCAGUGGAAAGAGGAUGGCAAAAAUUACAUAAUAUAUUGGAUUCUUGAAUUAUUGGUCAUAUCUCGUGAAAUUGGUUGGACUUUCAUUGGAAUAUACACCCUAACAUCAGUAACUGAAAUAAAAAGCAUCAACUGGCCGACUGUGAGCUCAAAGGGCCAAAAUGUCGGGAGGAGGAGAAUCAGUAAAAGUAGCCGUGCGGGUGCGGCCUUUCAACUCGAGAGAAAAGGAUAGGGGGGCAAAAUGUGUGGUGGAGAUGUCGGGAGCCACAACGAAGAUGCACAAUCCUGAAGCCCCAAAGGAUGAACCUAGAUCUUUCACAUUUGAUUACUCAUAUUGGUAAGUCAUAAUUAAUUAAUUUUUAAGGAACUUAGGGACAUGGAGGACUUUAUCAAUUGGAAUCUGUACAGUAGCCUUAACAUUGAUACCUUUUGUUAAAACAGUUGAAAAUACAUUUUUUUUCACUGUGUUAUGAAUGAUGGUGAUUUUAUUCAUUUCUAUCGGUAAACAGUAAUAUUCAGAAAAGUGAAGUAAUGUAAUUCAUUUGUUAAUCUUGGCAAUAUACUUAUAUGAAAUUUGUGUGAAAAUAAGGUAAUUUUUUUCUUGCUUGGAACAUGAGAGACUACAUUAUUCACAGACAUGGACUGACUGGUAUAGGUAACCCUAACUGGCAAGCAAAAAGCAGGGAAAUGGGGCAGAUAGAGCCUACUUUCCAUUGCUGAAAAUAAUGCUGUCAGUUAUGAAAACAACGAAAACACACAUUCACUUGAAUGCCUUAUUACCAUGUUUUAAGUUCAAAAUGCUACUCAUAGUGAAAAGAAAAGCAGAAAUUGUCUUGCUUGGUUGUUGUAUGUUUGCGCCCUUACACAAUCUCUACUUCACUGGAAUGUCUUUCAAAGGACAAGUCCACGCCAACAAAAUGUUGAUAUGAAUAAAAAGAGAAAAAUCAAACAAGCAUAACACUGAAAAUUUCAUCAAAAUCGGAUGUAAAAUAAGAAAGUUAUUACAUUUUAAAAUUUCGCCUAAUUUCACCAAAUAGUUAGAUUCACAUCCUGGUUGGUAUGCAAAUGAGAAGACUGAUGACAUCAUCAACUCACUAUUUCUUCUGUAUUUCAUUCCAUGGAAUAUGAAAUAUUAUAUUUUUGUUUCUCCUUGUCAUAUGAAACAAAGAUUUAUUCCUCCGUGAACAUAUGUAUAAUCAUCAUUGUUUUAACAUUUUGUGGUCUAAACAAGCCCUUAUUGUAAAAUCUCUAAAAUUACAAGGUGGAUACCACACUUAAUCAUACACAAUCUUAAGCACAAUAAAAAGGGUUGUUUUUUAUGACAGUCAAUCUGUAUAAUUAUAUGCUUUUAUAGUGAAAAGUAUAUCAAUAUUGCUAUGAAUAUCAAUAUUUAAUGAAUAAAGUCUAAUUUGAUUUCAGUCUUCUCCUUGUAAAAGGUUUUAAUGUCAUCCUAUCAUGAAAAUUGAAUAUUUGAGGCAUUUGUUGAGGUGGGGAAUAGAUAACCAAGUACUUGUCAAGAGUAUUCUGAGAUUGAAUAGGCCCACAUGGAGUUUUUAAGCACUUUACGUACAUUAAUAAAUUGAACAUUU